rnacentral:rRNA from 2 species
GUGAGGGGGCGGGGGCCUAUACAUGCAAGUCGAACGAACUCUGGUAUUGAUUGGUGCUUGCAUCAUGAUUUACAUUUGAGUGAGUGGCGAACUGGUGAGUAACACGUGGGAAACCUGCCCAGAAGCGGGGGAUAACACCUGGAAACAGAUGCUAAUACCGCAUAACAACUUGGACCGCAUGGUCCGAGUUUGAAAGAUGGCUUCGGCUAUCACUUUUGGAUGGUCCCGCGGCGUAUUAGCUAGAUGGUGGGGUAACGGCUCACCAUGGCAAUGAUACGUAGCCGACCUGAGAGGGUAAUCGGCCACAUUGGGACUGAGACACGGCCCAAACUCCUACGGGAGGCAGCAGUAGGGAAUCUUCCACAAUGGACGAAAGUCUGAUGGAGCAACGCCGCGUGAGUGAAGAAGGGUUUCGGCUCGUAAAACUCUGUUGUUAAAGAAGAACAUAUCUGAGAGUAACUGUUCAGGUAUUGACGGUAUUUAACCAGAAAGCCACGGCUAACUACGUGCCAGCAGCCGCGGUAAUACGUAGGUGGCAAGCGUUGUCCGGAUUUAUUGGGCGUAAAGCGAGCGCAGGCGGUUUUUUAAGUCUGAUGUGAAAGCCUUCGGCUCAACCGAAGAAGUGCAUCGGAAACUGGGAAACUUGAGUGCAGAAGAGGACAGUGGAACUCCAUGUGUAGCGGUGAAAUGCGUAGAUAUAUGGAAGAACACCAGUGGCGAAGGCGGCUGUCUGGUCUGUAACUGACGCUGAGGCUCGAAAGUAUGGGUAGCAAACAGGAUUAGAUACCCUGGUAGUCCAUACCGUACACGAUGAAUGCUAAGUGUUGGAGGGUUUCCGCCCUUCAGUGCUGCAGCUAACGCAUUAAGCAUUCCGCCUGGGGAGUACGGCCGCAAGGCUGAAACUCAAAGGAAUUGACGGGGGCCCCGCACAAGCGGUGGAGCAUGUGGUUUUAUUCGAAGCUACGCGAAAAACCUUACCAGGUCUUGACAUACUAUGCAAAUCUAAGAGAUUAGACGUUCCCUUCGGGGACAUGGAUACAGGUGGUGCAUGGUUGUCGUCAGCUCGUGUCGUGAGAUGUUGGGUUAAGUCCCGCAACGAGCGCAACCCUUAUUAUCAGUUGCCAGCAUUAAGUUGGGCACUCUGGUGAGACUGCCGGUGACAAACCGGAGGAAGGUGGGGAUGACGUCAAAUCAUCAUGCCCCUUAUGACCUGGGCUACACACGUGCUACAAUGGAUGGUACAACGAGUUGCGAACUCGCGAGAGUAAGCUAAUCUCUUAAAGCCAUUCUCAGUUCGGAUUGUAGGCUGCAACUCGCCUACAUGAAGUCGGAAUCGCUAGUAAUCGCGGAUCAGCAUGCCGCGGUGAAUACGUUCCCGGGCCUUGUACACACCGCCCGUCACACCAUGAGAGUUUGUAACACCCAAAGUCGGUGGGGUAACCUUUUAGGAACCAGCCGCCUAAGGGGACAGAU